rnacentral:rRNA from 1 species
UACAGAGGGUGCGAGCGUUAAUCGGAAUUACUGGGCGUAAAGCGCGCGUAGGCGGCUUGGUCAGUCGGAUGUGAAAGCCCCGGGCUCAACCUGGGAAUGGCAUUCGAUACUGCCAGGCUAGAGUAUGGGAGAGGGAAGUGGAAUUUCCGGUGUAGCGGUGAAAUGCGUAGAUAUCGGAAGGAACACCAGUGGCGAAGGCGACUUCCUGGCCCAAUACUGACGCUGAGGUGCGAAAGCGUGGGGAGCGAACAGGAUUAGAUACCCCAGUAGUCC